CGAGACCUCAGGUCAGACGGGCUACCCGCUGAGUUUAAGCAUAUCAUUGAG
rnacentral:rRNA from 1 species